UACGUAGGGGGCAAGCGUUGUCCGGAAUCAUUGGGCGUAAAGCGCGUGUAGGCGGCUCGAUAAGUCUGCUGUGAAAGUCCAGGGCUCAACCCUGGGAUGCCGGUGGAUACUGUCGAGCUAGAGUCCGGAAGAGGCGAGUGGAACUCCUGGUGUAGCGGUGGAAUGCGCAGAUAUCAGGAAGAACACCAACGGCGAAGGCAGCUCGCUGGGACGGUACUGACGCUGAGACGCGAAAGCGUGGGGAGCGAACAGG
rnacentral:rRNA from 1 species